GCUGGCCCGGUGCCUAAUACAUGCAAGUCGAACGAACUCUGGUAUUGAUUGGUGCUUGCAUCAUGAUUUACAUUUGAGUGAGUGGCGAACUGGUGAGUAACACGUGGGAAACCUGCCCAGAAGCGGGGGAUAACACCUGGAAACAGAUGCUAAUACCGCAUAACAACUUGGACCGCAUGGUCCGAGUUUGAAAGAUGGCUUCGGCUAUCACUAAAGGAUGGUGGGGCGGCGUAUUAGCUAGAUGGUGGGGUAACGGCUCACCAUGGCAAUGAUACGUAGCCGACCUGAGAGGGUAAUCGGCCACAUUGGGACUGAGACACGGCCCAAACUCCUACGGGAGGCAGCAGUAGGGAAUCUUCCACAAUGGACGAAAGUCUGAUGGAGCAACGCCGCGUGAGUGAAGAAGGGUUUCGGCUCGUAAAACUCUGUUGUUAAAGAAGAACAUAUCUGAGAGUAACUGUUCAGGUAUUGACGGUAUUUAACCAGAAAGCCACGGCUAACUACGUGCCAGCAGCCGCGGUAAUACGUAGGUGGCAAGCGUUGUCCGGAUUUAUUGGGCGUAAAGCGAGCGCAGGCCCAUUAAAAAGUCUGAUGUGAAAGCCUUCGGCUCAACCGAAGAAGUGCAUCGGAAACUGGGAAACUUGAGUGCAGAAGAGGACAGUGGAACUCCAUGUGUACGGGUGAAAUGCGUAGAUAUAUGGAAGAACACCAGUGGCGAAGGCGGCUGUCUGGUCUGUAACUGACGCUGAGGCUCGAAAGUAUGGGUAGCAAACACCAUUAGAUACCCUGGUAGUCCAUACCGUAAACGAUGAAUGCUAAGUGUUGGAGGGUUUCCGCCCUUCAGUGCUGCAGCUAACGCAUUAAGCAUUCCGCCUGGGGAGUACGGCCGCAAGGCUGAAACUCAAAGGAAUUGACGGGGGCCCGCACAAGCGGUGGAGCAUGUGGAAAAAUUCGAAGCUACGCGAAGAACCUUACCAGGUCUUGACAUACUAUGCAAAUCUAAGAGAUUAGACGUUCCCAAGGGGGACAUGGAUACAGGUGGUGCAUGGUUGUCGUCAGCUCGUGUCGUGAGAUGUUGGGUUAAGUCCCGCAACGAGGCCAACCCUUAUUAUCAGUUGCCAGCAUUAAGUUGGGCACUCUGGUGAGACUGCCGGUGACAAACCGGAGGAAGGUGGGGAUGACGUCAAAUCAUCAUGCCCCAAAUGACCUGGGCUACACACGUGCUACAAUGGAUGGUACAACGAGUUGCGAACUCGCGAGAGUUUCCUAAUCUCAAAAAGCCAAACU
rnacentral:rRNA from 1 species